UACAGAGGUCUCAAGCGUUGUUCGGAUUCAUUGGGCGUAAAGGGUGCGUAGGCGGCGCGGUAAGUCGGGUGUGAAAGCUCUCGGCUUAACUGAGGAAGUGCACCCGAAACUGAGUAGCUAGAGUACGAAAGAGGGUCGCGGAAUUCCCGGUGUAGAGGUGAAAUUCGUAGAUAUCGGGAGGAACACCGGUGGCGAAGGCGGCGACCUGGGUCGAGACUGACGCUGAGGCGCGAAAGCGUGGGGAGCAAACAGG
rnacentral:rRNA from 1 species